rnacentral:rRNA from 1 species
UACGUAGGGGGCUAGCGUUGUCCGGAAUCAUUGGGCGUAAAGCGCGUGUAGGCGGUCCUGUAAGUCCGCUGUGAAAGUCGGGGGCUCAACCCUCGAAUGCCGGUGGAUACUGUCGGGCUAGAGUGCAGAAGAGGCGAGUGGAAUUCCUGGUGUAGCGGUGAAAUGCGCAGAUAUCAGGAGGAACACCUAUUGCGAAGGCAGAUCGCUGGGACGUAACUGACGCUGAGACGCGAAAGCGUGGGGAGCAAACAGG